rnacentral:lncRNA from 1 species
UGGAGUUUCGCCAAAGUCCAUGCCAGGGGGUCACCCACAGGGCCCCACGCUGAGCCACAGACAGAUUAUUGACAUGUAAAAACCACACUUCUCUCAGUUCAACAUCCCAAAAAAAGAAGGGAAGAAAAAGCUGUUGGUGUUGACAUCCUGCUAACACUGUCCCAGGGUCACCAUUUCCCCACACCUGCCCAGGGAGCAGCUGACCAGUUGCUUCAUGAA